ensembl:lncRNA
GGGGCUUGGGAUCCAGAACAGGCAAUGCAGAGAAGCUGGAAAAGAGGAUUCAUCCCAGGCGGAAGGGAGAAAAUACUCCUGAUGUUCAGUGGAAGACAUUUCAGUUGGAUCCAGGCACACUUGUGCUUUUAAAUGUUUAAUAACCAGCUCCCUGUGGAAAUAGAAACACUGAUUUGUAGCAUUUUCCAGUUGCCACGGUGUAAAUACUUGGAAGCAGCCAACAUGAUGUUGCUAAACAUGGAAGUGGGAAGAAAUGUUCUCUAGCAGCUGAGGUGUGUUGAGAGCCAGUACUGGUAACAUCGCUGGACCCAGGGAAAGAUCUCUCUAAAAUGCUGGAGAAAAUAAGUGGUUCCUGAACUCUGGUGCAGAUUGUUAAAAGAAACUCCCUAAGUUGAAAAGAUGGGAGAUGGAGCCAUAUUACGCCUUCAAACGGCAGAGUUCUCUUUAAACAAUACAUUUUGACAUCCAACACUUAUAGCUACUCAGCUUCCAGGCCCUGACUAAUCCUUCUUUAAAAUCUCUCCUACAUUCACCCACCCCUUCCUCUUUAUGUCCGCCAUGGCCACCCCUGCUCAUGGACUCAGCCUGUCAACUCUGCAACAUUCUCUCUCCCUUCUGUACCAUUGAUAGACUGGACCAAGUCUGCCGUCCCUGUCAGCUUUCAGUGUAUCAUCCCCACUCAAGGUUUAAGGUCACAUCCACUGUAAAUGCUGCUGCCCAGCCUUCCUCCAGUCUCACUCAGUCUGAAAGUGGUCUGAGUGGAAGUCUCAGGUCCUAUGCUUGCUAACUGUGAGCUCCCAUGCAGAUUACAGAACACUCUCCUAGCCUUAACUUCCUUCCCUCUCAGAUGGUCAGCAUGUAUGUGGGGAGAGAUGUUCUCUAAAAUGAUGAGAAUAAAAGAACUUUCUUAGGGUUGUUUUGAAGAUUAAACAA